rnacentral:rRNA from 1 species
CUCAAUGAAAAUUAAAUUGCCGCUAAUAAGUGCUAAGGUAGCAUAAUCAUUUGUCUUUUAAUUAAAGACUAGAACGAAAGACUCAACAUUUCUAUUUCUUUCUCAUAUAUAACUUUAUAAUUUAUUUUAAAUAUUAAAAAAUAUUUAUUUCUAAAAAAGACGACAAGACCCUAUUGAACUUAACUACAGUUAAACUGGGGCAGUUAAUUAAAUAUAAUUUUAAUUUAAAUUUUAAAAACACCUAAAUCAAUUAAAAUAUCAAGUUACCAUAGGGAUAACAGCGUAAUAAUUUUUAAAAGUUCUUAUUAAAAAAAUUGAUUACGACCUCGAUGUUGAAUUAAUUAUCUUUUAAAUGCAAUAACUUAAUAAGAAAGUCUGUUCGACUU